AAAUUGAAACGCGACGGUUGUCGAGCGGGUGUGCUUGGUGCUUGUCUCUCAAGAACGUCGACGUACUUGGCGUUCGAGACUUCUUUCUCAUUGCGUGGCUGCAGAAAACUUCUUAAAAAUAAAUAAAGCAAAGGCAAGCCACAACAAACACGAAAUCCCAUUAAAAAACAGAUUUGUAUCAAGUGGAAAUUUGAAAUUCAACCAAAAAGG